rnacentral:rRNA from 1 species
UGCUCGAGUGGCGAACGGGUGAGUAACACGUGAGUAACCUGCCCUUGACUUUGGGAUAACUUCAGGAAACUGGGGCUAAUACCGGAUAGGAAGCUCCUGCUGCAUGGUGGGGUUGGAAAGUUUCGGCGGUUGGGGAUGGACUCGCGGCUUAUCAGCUUGUUGGUGGGUAGUGGCUUACCAAGGCUUUGACGGGUAGCCGGCCUGAGAGGGUGACCGGCCACAUUGGGACUGAGAUACGGCCCAG